UGAGGUGUCGCUCAGUGGGAGAGCACUUGCCUAACAUGCAUGAGGCCCUGAGUUCCAUCCUCAGCACUGGAG
rnacentral:tRNA from 1 species